rnacentral:rRNA from 1 species
UACGUAGGGAGCAAGCGUUAUCCGGAUUUAUUGGGUGUAAAGGGUGCGUAGACGGGAAAACAAGUUAGUUGUGAAAUCCCUCGGCUUAACUGAGGAACUGCAACUAAAACUAUUUUUCUUGAGUGCUGGAGAGGAAAGUGGAAUUCCUAGUGUAGCGGUGAAAUGCGUAGAUAUUAGGAGGAACACCAGUGGCGAAGGCGACUUUCUGGACAGUAACUGACGUUGAGGCACGAAAGUGUGGGGAGCAAACAGGAUUAGAUACCCUGGUAGUCCACACCGUGAACGAUGGAUACUAGGUGUAGGGGAUGAAUAAUCCUCUGUGCCGUCGCAAACGCAGUAAGUAUCCCACCUGGGGAGUACGGCCGCAAGGUUGAA